rnacentral:rRNA from 1 species
GACGAACGCUGGCGGCGUGCCUAAUACAUGCAAGUAGAACGCUGAAGGAGGAGCUUGCUUCUCUGGAUGAGUUGCGAACGGGUGAGUAACGCGUAGGUAACCUGCCUGGUAGCGGGGGAUAACUAUUGGAAACGAUAGCUAAUACCGCAUAAUAGUAGAUGUUGCAUGACAUUUACUUAAAAGGUGCAAUUGCAUCACUACCAGAUGGACCUGCGUUGCAUUAGCUAGUUGGUGGGGUAACGGCUCACCAAGGCGACGAUACAUAGCCGACCUGAGAGGGUGAUCGGCCACACUGGGACUGAGACACGGCCCAGACUCCUACGGGAGGCAGCAGUAGGGAAUCUUCGGCAAUGGACGAAAGUCUGACCGAGCAACGCCGCGUGAGUGAAGAAGGUUUUCGGAUCGUAAAGCUCUGUUGUAAGAGAAGAACGAGUGUGAGAGUGGAAAGUUCACACUGUGACGGUAUCUUACCAGAAAGGGACGGCUAACUACGUG